rnacentral:rRNA from 1 species
CACGUAGUUAGCCGUGACUUUCUCACAGGGUACCGUCACUGUCUUCUUCCCCUGCGACAACAGUUUACAAUCCGAAGACCCUCUUCCUGCACGCGGCGUUGCUGCGUCAGGGUUGCCCCCAUUGCGCAAUAUUCCCCACUGCUGCCUCCCGUAGGAGUCUGGGCCGUGUCUCAGUCCCAAUGCGGCCGAUCAACCUCUCAGUUCGGCUACAGAUCGUCGCCUUGGUGAGCCGUUACCUCACCAACCAGCUAAUCUGACGCGAGUCCAUCCAUAAGCGAUAAAUCUUUCAAAAUUCUAUGAUGCCAUAAAAUUUCAAUAUGCGGUAUUAGUCCUCGUUUCCAAGGAUUAUCCCCUCUUAUGGGCAGGUUACUCACGCGUUACUCGCCCGUCCGCCACUUUCCACCCAACACGUUCACCCCGAAGGGAUCACCCCAAAUCGGGUUUCUCGUUCGACUUUGCUAUGUGUUAGGCACGCCGCCAGCGUUGUCCUGAGCCAGGAGUCAACUCUCUAG